UAGUGUUCCUGGCAGGGGAGACACCAUGAUCAAUCAGGUGGUUUUCCCAGGGCAGGUGAUUGUCUCUCAUAUGUCCUCCAUCAGAGGUCUAUAUUGAGCAGAUUCUUUUUGGUGUUCGGUGGUGGAACUGGAGCUUGCUCCAUCCACUC
rnacentral:snRNA from 1 species